UGGGCUAUAGCCAAGGGGUAAGGCACAGGACUUUGACUCCUGGAUUCGCCGGUUCAAAUCCGGCUAGCCCAG
rnacentral:tRNA from 1 species